AUUGCUAGAUUGCGCAAAACUCGUGAAUAAAAGACAGAGGUACACGGACAGACGGAAGAGACAGAGAGACAGACCGACAUAAAAACACACACGCAGUGACAGACAUGGGAACGAUAGGACUGGAUGGCCCACGUAUCAGUUUUGGGGGUUUUGGGGUAGAUAGCAAGCAGUUUUAUGCAUAAAAAGACGCGAGCGACUACUUACUAUUCAGUUCUGUCUAAUAUCUCCCAGCAAAUUCAGUCUCCAAUAUAUUUUUUAAGAUCUUCUUGCGAGAAGGAAUCUGAUCAUAUCAACAGUCUGUCCACUGUUCUUAAUACAGAUAAACAUGACUUCAUAUUCGUCCUGCUUAGUACUGUUGAUGCUGGUUUGCAACUCAUAUACCAGGUCACUGAACCUUCAUGAUGUUUCUCUUUCACCCAAGAAGCCCUCUCGAAUGCAACCUCCAGCAAAUGCUGCUGCUUAUGAUAUAUUUUCUUUAGCAAAUGAUAAUGAGAAUGCAAUUGAGGAGAAUGCUCAACAAGAAUUAAAACAAACUCCCGUCUCUUCAGCGAUCGAUUCGCCAAUGCCAAUCCUUUCAAAACAAAGCGAGAAUCCGCAGCCCCUACCUGUCAUUAAAUUGAAUUCUUUUAUGAAAGCUUCGCAAGGAGGGGAGCGGCAAGGGAAACAUGUUAUAACUCCGGAUCUCGUCAAGGUGAAGACGGUGAUGCCAGGCGAAGACGCUUCUACCGGAGGCAGUACUUUAAUUUCCACAAAGGCACCGGUCGUCACUACAACGACCGAAGAUCCAUGGGAUGCGUUUUGUUCAGAGGCCUGUCAGGAAGGGCUCGCUGGUCCUGAAUGUGACUGUGCUGAACACCCAAUUGGCAGGAGACACGCCCCAUCCCCAAGUCUCUUCUAUGACAUGGGCCAGCGGCCGUGAUCUGACACUGGGAUUAAGGUGCCUCUGAGAGAUUGUCGCCCAGUUUGUCAGUUGCCUCAGCUCGUCUCCUGCAGUAUCAGAUGAACUGAUGCCUCAUUUUCUUUCCAUGGGGAAAAGAACCAGCGAAUCCGGGCGACAGUAAAAAUGAUCUGAUAUUCUUUGAUCGGAUUAUCAAGAUGGAUAUCAAGUUUUCAGACACCACGUUCAUUUUCAGGGUUAUUCCAAGCUGCUUCAAGUUUUCUUCAGAUAAACUCUUUACUACAAUAUUUUCACUCAAAACAAUAUGUUCUUCCUGCGAUUAAGUGAGACGUACACUUCUUGCUUAAUUAUCCUCAUAUUGCAGAAGUUAUCCAGGAAAUAAUUCCGUUCUUGAUAUAUAUACCUUUUAAUUCAUUUGUAAUUAUCCACUUAACACAAAGGUUAUCUUAGAAAUAGUUAUGUUCUUGAGGAACCCUUAA